rnacentral:tRNA from 1 species
GCCGGAAUAGCUCAMUUGGUA